UGCCAAGGUUGGCCUACAGGGAGCACCAGGAGUGGGAAAAGGACUGCAGUACUGUACCCAGCCAGAAGGAGUUGCUCAAGAGCUUUCAGUGUCAUGAUUAGACUGAAGUCUAGAGAAGAUCUCAGAGAUAAUGGACUUUAACUGGUAUGGGUCAUAUAGGCAAGUGUAAUGAAGAUGUGGGGUUAAGAUGACUAGAAGACAAGUCUCUGACAACAUACCAUGAUCCAUGUAGAACCAGUGCCUGCUUCUCCAAAGUCUCUGAAAUUUGUCAGAAAAUCGGGGCUGUACUGUAGACCAUCCUAGCACAAGGCAGAGGCACAAAGGCAAGAAGAAACUCCAAGACUUCACAGGUAUUCAUGGGCACACUUGAAUAUUUAAGGGAAAAAAGAUUAAUAUGCCUUCCAAAGUAUAAAUGCAAUUGUCCCCUUCUUCAUGGGCACUAGUGCAAGCUAAUUGGCCUUCACUUCCUUUAUGUCCCCCCCCCCCACCGUCUUCAGCUUAGGGUACAUAACUCACAUAGCAAUCAAUUAUCUCACAGGAUAGUAGUAGCAGCAGCCGUGUAGGACUUGCAAU